CACUCCUGCGGGAGGCAGCAGUGGGGAAUAUUGCACAAUGGGCGCAAGCCUGAUGCAGCCAUGCCGCGUGUAUGAAGAAGGCCUUCGGGUUGUAAAGUACUUUCAGCGGGGAGGAAGGUGUUGAGGUUAAUAACCUCAGCAAUUGACGUUACCCGCAGAAGAAGCACCGGCUAACUCCGUGCCAGCAGCCGCGGUAAUACGGAGGGUGCAAGCGUUAAUCGGAAUUACUGGGCGUAAAGCGCACGCAGGCGGUCUGUCAAGUCGGAUGUGAAAUCCCCGGGCUCAACCUGGGAACUGCAUUCGAAACUGGCAGGCUAGAGUCUUGUAGAGGGGGGUAGAAUUCCAGGUGUAGCGGUGAAAUGCGUAGAGAUCUGGAGGAAUACCGGUGGCGAAGGCGGCCCCCUGGACAAAGACUGACGCUCAGGUGCGAAAGCGUGGGGAGCAAACAGGAUUAGAAACCCCUGUAGUCCCAUG
rnacentral:rRNA from 1 species